rnacentral:hammerhead_ribozyme from 1 species
AUCCAGCCGACGGGUCCCAAACAGGACGAAACACGCGUCCUGGAU